CGUCACACUAUCAUUAACUGAAUCCAUAGGUUAAUGAGGCGAACCGGGGGAACUGAAACAUCUAAGUACCCCGAGGAAAAGAAAUCAACCGAGAUUCCCCCAGUAGCGGCGAGCGAACGGGGAGGAGCCCAGAGCCUGAAUCAGCAUGUGUGUUAGUGGAAGCGUCUGGAAAGGCGCGCGAUACAGGGUGACAGCCCCGUACACAAAAGCGCAUGUGCUGUGAGCUCGAUGAGUAGGGCGGGACACGUGGUAUCCUGUCUGAAUAUGGGGGGACCAUCCUCCAAGGCUAAAUACUCCUGACUGACCGAUAGUGAACCAGUACCGUGAGGGAAAGGCGAAAAGAACCCCGGCGAGGGGAGUGAAAAAGAACCUGAAACCGUGUACGUACAAGCAGUGGGAGCACCCUUUGGGUGUGACUGCGUACCUUUUGUAUAAUGGGUCAGCGACUUAUAUUCUGUAGCAAGGUUAACCGAAUAGGGGAGCCGGAGGGAAACCGAGUCUUAAUUGGGCGUUAAGUUGCAGGGUAUAGACCCGAAACCCGGUGAUCUAGCCAUGGGCAGGUUGAAGGUUGGGUAACACUAACUGGAGGACCGAACCGACUAAUGUUGAAAAAUUAGCGGAUGACCUGUGGCUGGGGGUGAAAGGCCAAUCAAACCGGGAGAUAGCUGGUUCUCCCCGAAAGCUAUUUAGGUAGCGCCUCGUGAAUUCAUCUCCGGGGGUAGAGCACUGUUUCGGCUAGGGGGCCAUCCCGGCUUACCAACCCGAUGCAAACUGCGAAUACCGGAGAAUGUUAUCACGGGAGACACACGGCGGGUGCUAACGUCCGUCGUGAAGAGGGAAACAACCCAGACCGCCAGCUAAGGUCCCAAAGUCAUGGUUAAGUGGGAAACGAUGUGGGAAGGCCCAGACAGCCAGGAUGUUGGCUUAGAAGCAGCCAUCAUUUAAAGAAAGCGUAAUAGCUCACUGGUCGAGUCGGCCUGCGCGGAAGAUGUAACGGGGCUAAACCAUGCACCGAAGCUGCGGCAGCGACACUGUGUGUUGUUGGGUAGGGGAGCGUUCUGUAAGCCUGUGAAGGUGUGUCGUGAGGCAUGCUGGAGGUAUCAGAAGUGCGAAUGCUGACAUAAGUAACGAUAAAGCGGGUGAAAAGCCCGCUCGCCGGAAGACCAAGGGUUCCUGUCCAACGUUAAUCGGGGCAGGGUGAGUCGACCCCUAAGGCGAGGCCGAAAGGCGUAGUCGAUGGGAAACGGGUUAAUAUUCCCGUACUUGGUGUUACUGCGAAGGGGGGACGGAGAAGGCUAUGUUGGCCGGGCGACGGUUGUCCCGGUUUAAGCGUGUAGGUGUGUGUUCCAGGUAAAUCCGGUUCACUUUAACACUGAGGCGUGACGACGAGGCACUACGGUGCUGAAGCAACAAAUGCCCUGCUUCCAGGAAAAGCCUCUAAGCAUCAGGUAACAUCAAAUCGUACCCCAAACCGACACAGGUGGUCAGGUAGAGAAUACCAAGGCGCUUGAGAGAACUCGGGUGAAGGAACUAGGCAAAAUGGUGCCGUAACUUCGGGAGAAGGCACGCUGACACGUAGGUGAAGUGAUUUACUCAUGGAGCUGAAGUCAGUCGAAGAUACCAGCUGGCUGCAACUGUUUAUUAAAAACACAGCACUGUGCAAACACGAAAGUGGACGUAUACGGUGUGACGCCUGCCCGGUGCCGGAAGGUUAAUUGAUGGGGUCAGCGCAAGCGAAGCUCCUGAUCGAAGCCCCGGUAAACGGCGGCCGUAACUAUAACGGUCCUAAGGUAGCGAAAUUCCUUGUCGGGUAAGUUCCGACCUGCACGAAUGGCGUAAUGAUGGCCAGGCUGUCUCCACCCGAGACUCAGUGAAAUUGAACUCGCUGUGAAGAUGCAGUGUACCCGCGGCAAGACGGAAAGACCCCGUGAACCUUUACUAUAGCUUGACACUGAACAUUGAGCCUUGAUGUGUAGGAUAGGUGGGAGGCUUUGAAGUGUGGACGCCAGUCUGCAUGGAGCCGACCUUGAAAUACCACCCUUUAAUGUUUGAUGUUCUAACGUGGACCCGUUACCCGGGUUGCGGACAGUGUCUGGUGGGUAGUUUGACUGGGGCGGUCUCCUCCUAAAGAGUAACGGAGGAGCACGAAGGUUGGCUAAUCCUGGUCGGACAUCAGGAGGUUAGUGCAAUGGCAUAAGCCAGCUUGACUGCGAGCGUGACGGCGCGAGCAGGUGCGAAAGCAGGUCAUAGUGAUCCGGUGGUUCUGAAUGGAAGGGCCAUCGCUCAACGGAUAAAAGGUACUCCGGGGAUAACAGGCUGAUACCGCCCAAGAGUUCAUAUCGACGGCGGUGUUUGGCACCUCGAUGUCGGCUCAUCACAUCCUGGGGCUGAAGUAGGUCCCAAGGGUAUGGCUGUUCGCCAUUUAAAGUGGUACGCGAGCUGGGUUUAGAACGUCGUGAGACAGUUCGGUCCCUAUCUGCCGUGGGCGCUGGAGAACUGAGGGGGGCUGCUCCUAGUACGAGAGGACCGGAGUGGACGCAUCACUGGUGUUCGGGUUGUCAUGCCAAUGGCACUGCCCGGUAGCUAAAUGCGGAAGAGAUAAGUGCUGAAAGCAUCUAAGCACGAAACUUGCCCCGAGAUGAGUUCUCCCUGAGACUUAAAGUCUCCUGAAGGAACGUUGAAGACGACGACGUUGAUAGGCCGGGUGUGUAAGCGCAGCGAUGCGUUGAGCUAACCGGUACUAAUGA
rnacentral:rRNA from 1 species